AAGCUGAAUCCUUGCCUCUGCUGAGUCCCCAAACCUCAGAACAUGCUGAGCCUCUCAACACUCUCCCUGAACCACCUGAGGCUGUGAUUUUGCUUGUUUUCAGGCUAAAUCUCCAACUGCAGAAGAGCUAAAGCAGGAGUUUGGCAGAAGUGUAAAUAGUUUUCAAAUCAGAAGCUCCCACAUGCAAAAUUGUGCCCACUUUAGUUUCUGUUUUCUCCAGCAUGGUUGCUGUCAUCCCCUGGAGGGUUUGGAUCCUAUUUUCUGAUUCCCCUUGACAAUUUUUUUGCCCAGCACAGACACAGCUUCUAAGGAGGGGACGACCCAACCCUGUUGCUUCAUUUGGCACUGCCGAUCUAAUGAGGUGUAAAUCCCACAGAUGCUCCUCAGGGCGGCCGGCAUAGUAAUUUAUAUCAAUUGGUGUGAUUAGAGGAAGCCCUCAAUCAUCCCGCAGUGUCUCAUUGCAAUCCGUCAUAGUCCUAAUCAGACGCACUUCACCCUGGCUUUGUGCUGGGUUGAAUAUAUGCUUUCCUGGGCCCUGCUCAAGAGCCCAAAUAUUAGAGAAAGGGACUCGAGGAGAUAGAAUGUGACCCAUGAUCACCUCCCAGGAAUGAGGAUGCUUCCUCCCCUUCACCCAGGAGGGCACUGGCCAAGAGCUCACAAAUGUGAGCUCAAACCCAAACUCCUUGGUUGCGAGUCCCUGGCCCUGCCCCUGAUAGGCUGGUUUCCUUAGACAAGUGACUCCAUCUCUGGUGUCUCAGUCAUUCAUCUGUAAGAUGGGGUGAUAAUAAUGCUACAGUCCUCCUAUCAUUGUUGGAAGGAUUAAAUGAAUUAAUAUUUGCUUGGAAACAUACCUGGCACAAGUAAGUAAAUUCUCUUAUAUUUUUCUGUCCAUUCCAAAAGGGCUCUGAGAAGUCUUCCAAUGAAGAUACACAAAGACCAGUAAAAUGAAGAUACACAAAGACAAGUAAACUGAAGACUGAGGAAUUCAAGAACCACAUAAGGAAAGGGGCUCCUCAUGAUACCAAGUGGCUGCCACAACUCUUGCCUAAGAUGCUUUCAGGAACAAUUUCCUCAUGCCAAAUAUAUACUCAGUUGUUGCUGCUGCUGCUGCCAAGUCGCUUCAAUCGUGUCCAACUCUGUGUGACCCCAUAGACGGCAGCCCACCAGG